rnacentral:rRNA from 1 species
CUUGGUUAAUCUUGCCAAGUAGUCAUAUGCUUGUCUCGAAGAUUAAGCAAUGCUUAUGUAAGUUUGAACUAAUUUAUACAGUGAAACUAUGAAUGGCUUAUUAAAUCAAUUAUAGGUUAUUUGAUGGUAUCUACUACUAGGAUAAUUAUAGUAAUUUUAGAGCAAAUAUGUGCAACAAACCCUAACUUUUAGAAGGGAUGCAUUCAUUAGAUAAAAGGUCUGCACAGGCUUUGCCCAUUACUCUGAUGAUUCAUGAUAACUUGAUAGAUCACAUAGCCUAUAUGUUGAAGAUGCAUCAUUCAAAAUUUUGCCCUAUCAACUUUUGAUAGUAAGAUAAUGGCCUACUAUGGUGGUGAUGGGUGAUGGAGAAUUAGGGUUUGAUUCUAAAGAGGGAGCCUAAGAAACGUCUACCACUUCCAAGGAAGGCAACAGGUGCAUAAAUUACCCAAUCCUAACAUAGGGGGGUAGUGAAAAUAAACAACAAUACCAAGCUUUAUAAGUCUAGUAAUUGGAAUGAGUACAAUCUAAAUCCCUUAAUGGGGAUCCAUUAGAAGGUAAGUCUAGUGCUAGCAGUUGCGGCAAUUCUAGCUCCAAUAGCAUAUAUUUAAGUUUUUGUAGUUAAAAAGCUUAUAUUUGAAACUAGGAUUGGGUCGUGUGGUCCACCUCAUAGUGAGCACCAAGCUACUCUUCCCUAUUACUGGUGAGGCAUUCCUAGUCUUAAUUGGCCAAGUCAUUCCUCUAACAUUGUUACUUUGAAAAAAUUAGAGUGCUUAAAGUAGGCUUGUGCUUGUAUACAUUAGCAUGGGAUAACAUCAUAGGCUUUCAAUCUUAAUGUGUUAGCCUUCGAGAUAGGAGUAAUGAUUAACAGGGACAAUUAGGGGCAUUCAAAUUUCAUAGUUAGAGGUGAAAUUUUUGGAUUUAUGAAAGAUGAACAACUAUAAAAGCAUUUGCUAAGGAUGUUUUCAUUAAUCAAUAAUGAAAGUUAAGGCUCAAAGAUGAUCAAAUACCAUCCUAGUCUCAACCAUAAAUGAUGUCAACCAGGGAUCGAUGGAUAUUACUUUUAGAACUCUAUCAGCACCUUAUGCGAAAUCAAAGUCUUUGGGUUUCGGGGGAGUAUGGUUGCAAGGUUGAAACUUAAAGGAAUUGAUAAAAGGGCAUCACCAAGAGUAGAGCGUGUGGCUUAAUUUAACUUAAAAAAAGGAAACUUACUAGGUCUAGACAUAGUAAGGAUUGAUAGAUUGAGAGCUCCUUUUUUAUUCUAUGGGUGGUGGUGCAUGGCCGUUCUUAGUUGGUGAAGUGAUUUGUCUAGUUAACUUCAUUAAAGAACGAGACCUUUGCCUGCUAACUAGGUAUACGGAGGUGAUCCUUCAUGGCUAGCUUCUUAGAGGGACUGUGGCCAUUUAGGCUAAGGAAGUUUGAGGCAAUAAUAGGUCUGUGAUGCUCUUAGAUAUUCUUGGCCACACACUUGCUACAUUGAUGUAUUUAAAGAGUCUAUAGACUUGGCUGACAAGCUUGGGUAAUCUUUGAAAUUUCAUUAUGAUGGGGAUAGAUCAUUGUAAUUGUUGGUUUUUAACAAGGAAUUCCUAGUAAGUGUAAGUUAUCAACUCAUGUUGAGCACAUCCCUACCCUUUAUACACCACCCAUUGCUCAUACCAAUUGAAUGGUUUGAUGAAGUGUUCAAAUCAUGGUGACAUGGACAAUUCGCUACUUGUGACAUCAUGGGAAGUCCAAUGAACCUUAUCAUUUAGAGGAAGGAAAAGUCGUAACAAGGUUUCAGUAGGUGAACAUACAAAAG